CCAGCAGACCAUUGUGAUGCUUUGCAACUGGUCGAUAUUUCCAAGCGAAGGAAAAGCAGCAUAAGGCUCUCCCAGACAAAAGUGUUGCAAAAGAUACUGUGCAGGAGGUGUCCACAGACUGCAAUUUCACAGCAUACCAGAGAGGGUAGAGAGGCCACCUUUACCACCUAGAUGCUUUAUCAAUGAUUCUAGAGAGAACCUAGCAUAGAGGCCAUGACUGGGGAGGGUUGGGCGACAGAGAAACGAAAGAUAAUAGGAGUAGGGAUGUGGAAGUGGGACAGCAGGAAUGGAUACAAAGUGGUGUAAUAGUCUGGAAAGGAUUGGAAUGCAGGGCAGUAUCUUAAGAAUCCCAGGCUCAUUCUGUUUCAUUGAGAGAAAAUUUCCUAGCAACAAAUCAUCCCAGCAUCUCAGGUCUUCUAUCUACGCUGAAAUGUUAAUGCAAUGAACCACAAGGAGUGUGGUUUCAAAAUUGAUGGGCUAGCAACACAAACUGGGAAUUCUUUUGUUUAUUUAAAUUUCUAUGACAAGGAGAUUUGACCAGGGUGAGUUUAUGAUCCUUGGCACCUUCACAAAAGCACGAUCUGGAUAUUUUUCUUCUAGACACUGUUUAUCUAAUUGACAGAUAUUAACAUUGUAAACAUUUUAGAGGAGACGCUCUGGUGGAUGUUGGGGAAAUAGAGGAAGAGGACCAGCCACUGCUCUCAAGGAUCUCAGACCCAUAUGUGAUCGAUGACAACGCAGCAAGUGUGUCAACAGAAAACUGAUCCCAAAAAGGCCCAGAGGGUAAAAGCCUGACUCUUCCAGAAAGUUUCAGGGAGGAAGUGCUAUGGCUGACUAUUGCAAGAAGAUUCAGAUGGAAGGGGAAGAUAAGGAAGGACAUUCCCGGCAGAAGGGACAGCUUGGCCAAGGUACCGCUAUCUGCAAAGGGGACCAAACAGAUGACUUGCCCAGGAAUUUGGGGGAGAGCCUGAAGCCAUCUCCUGUAAUCGUAGCAUCUCAUUAAAAAAUUCUGAUUUAUUGUAAAAAUCUAUUUGAACUUGUGUCUAAUCCAUUUUUGUAUGUGUUCUUGGUUUUCAAAUAAAAAUGUUUUAAAUUAA